rnacentral:rRNA from 2 species
AGUGCGAAUGCUGACAUAAGUAACGAUAAAGCGGGUGAAAAGCCCGCUCGCCGGAAGACCAAGGGUUCCUGUCCAACGUUAAUCGGGGCAGGGUGAGUCGACCCCUAAGGCGAGGCCGAAAGGCGUAGUCGAUGGGAAACGGGUUAAUAUUCCCGUACUUGGUGUUACUGCGAAGGGGGGACGGAGAAGGCUAUGUUGGCCGGGCGACGGUUGUCCCGGUUUAAGCGUGUAGGUGUGUGUUCCAGGUAAAUCCGGUUCACUUUAACACUGAGGCGUGACGACGAGGCACUACGGUGCUGAAGCAACAAAUGCCCUGCUUCCAGGAAAAGCCUCUAAGCAUCAGGUAACAUCAAAUCGUACCCCAAACCGACACAGGUGGUCAGGUAGAGAAUACCAAGGCGCUUGAGAGAACUCGGGUGAAGGAACUAGGCAAAAUGGUGCCGUAACUUCGGGAGAAGGCACGCUGACAC